rnacentral:SRP_RNA from 1 species
GCUGGGCAUGGUGGUGCGUGCCUGUAAUCCCAGCUACUCAGGAGGCUGAGACAGGAGGAUCACUUAAGCCCAGGAGUUUGAGGCUAUAGCAAGCCCUGCCAAUUAGGUGUCUGCACUAGGUUCAGCAUCGAUAUGGUGCCCUCCUGCAAGGAGGGACCACCAAGAUGCCUAAGGAGGGGUGAACCAGCCCAAGUUGGAAGCAGAGCAGGUCAAACCCCUGUGCUGAUUGGUAGUGAGAUCAUGCCUAUGAAUAGCCCACUGUGCUCCAGCAGCAGCAUAAAAAGACCCUGUCUUU